GAUGAACGCUGGCGGCGUGCCUAAUACAUGCAAGUCGAGCGAACAGACGCGGAGCUUGCUCCUCUGACGUUAGCGGCGGACGGGUGAGUAACACGUGGAUAACCCUCCUAUAUGACUGGGAUCACUUCGAGAAACCGGCGCUAAUACCGGAGAAUCUCUUGAACCGCAUGGUGCAAUAGUGAAAUACGGUUUUGGUGUCACUUAUAGCUGGAUCUGCGCCGCAUGAGAUAGUUGUUAAGGAAACGGCUUACCACGGCAAGGAUGCGUAGCCGACCUGGUAGGGUGAUCGGCCACACUGGAACUGAGACACGCUCCAGACUCCUACGGGAGGCAGCAGUAGGGAAUCUUCCGCAAUGGGCGAAAGCCUGACGGAGCAACGCCGCGUGAGUGAUGAAGGUCUUCGGAUCGUAAAACUCUGUUAUUAGGGAAGAACAAAUGUGUAAGUAACUAUGCACGUCUUGACGGUACCUAAUCAGAAAGCCACGGCUAACUACGUG
rnacentral:rRNA from 1 species